UACGGAGGGGGCGAGCGUUAUUCGGAAUUAUUGGGCGUAAAGGGCGCGUAGGCGGCCCGGUAAGUCAAAGGUGAAAUCCCUCGGCUCAACUGAGGAACUGCCUUUGAAACUGUCGGGCUUGAGGCCGGGAGGGGGUAGCGGAAUUCCCAGUGUAGCGGUGAAAUGCGUAGAUAUUGGGAGGAACACCGGUGGCGAAGGCGGCGUCCUGGACCAACACUGACACUGAGGAGCGAAAGCCAGGGGAGCAAACGGG
rnacentral:rRNA from 1 species